ensembl:lncRNA
UUUUCGCUACUAGAAACUCAGUGGGAUUUUAGCCAACGAAUUAAUGAGCAUAUCAAGCAAAAUGAAAGGUGUCACAAAUGUGCAUGUAUUACACCUUUACUUUACUGUGGUCAUUAUAAAUUUUGUUGUAAGGUAUGAAAUGUUUCUACCUAAUCCGUGUAUUUUCUUACCCAGACUACGAUAUGGGGAAAUUUCAGGCACAAUACUUACUUACAUCCAUUGACAUGGGAAUUUGGGGUAGAAAGUGAGGCAGAUUGCUACAUCUGCCAUUUAAAAAAUGUACUGUCUCCUCCUCUCUCUAUGUAUACAUACAAAACCAGUGUCCUAUCAUUCUCCGAUGGUGGGAUACCCCUCAUACCCUUCCUAAUUCCCUCCAAGUUAAAAUCUUUAACACUUCUUUUGAAGCCUUGUGAUAUAAUUUUCAAGGACAUGGAAUUGCUGAUGUAUUUUUAAUUACUGUCAAGUAAAACCAGACAUUCUACAGAGAUCACCCUCUGUCUUUCCAUUCUAUAUUCAUUGGGAAGAAACAUAAAAAGUUACAUUACCACAACAGGAAUCUUUUUGAAGCCUUUGCCUUUCUGCUUGAACAGUCAUGUUUUUCAACAUGUGGUCUAGUAUAGUUGCUUGAAUUACAUUUUCUGUUUAACUCUUGCUUCCCUCCCAGAACUUUAACACAAUAAGAGCUACAAAGGUCUUAUUAGACUUAGGAACUCUGGCAUGAUAUGGUCCCCAAGGGAACAACAUCCUUGAAAAAGAAUACCCUGUGUAACAGUAUGACACAGUGACUGCUUUCUUCCCAAACAAAAAGCAUAUGGGACUCCAAUAAUAGACCACCUCCAAGAGGGAUACUGCACACUCGGGCUUUGACUAAAGUAAAUAUAAUAACUUGUCAAGCAUGUUGUGGGGAGCUGUAGAUUUUCCCCUGGACAAACCUGGAAUAUCAAUUAACUCUGUAAAAUACUCUGUGCUAAUACAAUGCAACUUCAGACCAUCAAUGAAAAGUGGUUAAGCACAAAAACACAGGAUGUUAUUCCAAAACAUAACCUUCCUCAUACAGUUUGUUUGGAGAUACGACCUAUCACUGAGACAAUAACAGUAGAAGUCUAUUUCUGUAAUUUUCUUUUGGUACCUAGGGAAUGUCAACAGAUAGCACACGAAACAAAGCAGCUUCACUUGUAUAUUACAUUAGUUCCUGGCUAACAGUAUCUUGCCUUGAUAACAUCCACCUUUGACCAUGAAUAAAACCACGCCAAGGCUAUGGAGAUAUUAUUGAGGGAGACCACAAAGACUUAACUGCAAAAGGACACUGCAGCAGCUCUUAUGUCUCCUAGAACAUAAUCAAAUUUGUAGCAACUGCAGCAUCUACACAAAGCCACUUCAAAAUGCAUGUUUCCUUUUUGGUUUUCAGUAUGUCACUAUUACCUUCUAAGAUCUGAAUUAACAAACACAACAGUGACAGGGUGUAUAGCAGGAAAACACAUUCCCACAUUAAGGUCAGGCACAAUUGUUGCAUCAGGCAGAAUCAUGGGAGUUUAAUGUUGAAAACAGGAGUUUAUUAGUAAAAACAUUUCAUCCAAUUUCUAAUAUUGCCAAUAAUCAGUCAUUUUCAUUUUGGUAACUAUUUAAAAGAAAAAUAUUUUCAGGUAAUAUUAGCCUAAGCAUAAGUUAAACUUCAUCUCUCAAAAUAAGCUUAGUAGCCCAUCUGUAUAAAUCAGGGUCCUGCAUACGCUAAGGCAGAACCCCAUGACCCCAGCAGCAGCUUCUCUUUUUACACAGUUGGGAAUACCUUGAAAUGGUGGCAAAAGGUGGAGUGGCCAGCAGUGUCCUUUGGCAGCACAAUGGCUAAACUAUGGUCCUCAUCCUACAUGCAGACUUGAUUGUUUGGACUGGCACCUAAAUCACCCCAAAGAGCAACUUGCGCUACUUGCUCCUCUAUAUGCUCACUCACUGCGUACAUGGAUCCUGCUUCCUGACCCUUAAAAUAGCCUGUCAACACAUAAAAAUAGAGUACAAUAACUGAAUAUAGUAGUGCAUGAUGAUGAUCGAGUAACCAUGAUCAGUGAUUGUACCUCUGUUGUGCUAUACCGGGACCUUCUGAGAAGCAGGAACACCUGUUUCAGGUGUGCAUGUUUUAUAUGCACAUUUAUACAUUAGGAGGGAAAGAGGAAAUGUCUUUCAUACUUCUCAAUUAUGGAGCUACAGUAAGGUUGUCAUAACUUUGAAUGUUUACAAUUACUUACACUCUUAAUUCUUAAGGCUUUUGGAGUGUUUUGGGGUUUUUUUUUUUUUUUUGUAAUUAAUGAGACUCUUCACAUACACUUGAAGCAAACCUCAGCUGCUCAGAAACCUACAAAUUUUUUCCACCGGCCACUUGCAAAGAGCACCUCAAGGAGCUGAGUAUUAGAAACAUAGUGCUGUGGGGUUGCACAAAUCAAGUAUGUGUUUAUCUGCCAUGCAUGUCAUUUUUAUCUCCUGUAUAAUCAGGUGAUAUUCUAGGAAAUGCUGCUCUCCAAAGCACAACUGGAAAGAAGAAAAUUAUCUGAAGCCCACUUACACCAACUGGAAACCUUCCAUUGCUUUCAAUGGCUUUUGACCAGGCCAUGAGUGCCUAAAAUUAAUCAUUUCACAUGACUAAGGCAGGUUGUCC